rnacentral:piRNA from 1 species
UGAGAUACUCUGGGAAUGGUGCGCCUCU